rnacentral:rRNA from 1 species
AACCCGCCUGCGUGAAGUUGGAAUUGCUAGUAAUCGCGGAUCAGCAUGCCGCGGUGAAUACGUUCCUGGGCCUUGUACACACCGCCCGUCACACCAUGAGAGUCGGGAACACCCGAAGUCCGUAGUCUAACCGCAAGGAGGGCGCGGCCGAAGGUGGGCUCGAUAAUUGGGGUGAAGUCGUAACAAGGUAAC